CCUACGGGAGGCAGCAGUGGGGAAUAUUGCACAAUGGGCGCAAGCCUGAUGCAGCCAUGCCGCGUGUAUGAAGAAGGCCUUCGGGUUGUAAAGUACUUUCAGUCGGGAGGAAGGUGUCAAGGUUAAUAACCUUGGCAAUUUACGUUACCGACAGAAGAAGCACCGGCUAACUCCGUGCCAGCAGCCGCGGUAAU
rnacentral:rRNA from 1 species